rnacentral:pre_miRNA from 8 species
CUUGUGGAGGAAAUUCAGCGGGGUUUUCCUUUGUGCUUGAUCUAACCAUGUGGUUGCAGACUCAGACUAAUACAUGGUUCUGUCAAGCACCAUGGAAGGUCUUGCAGCAUCUACAGCAUGGCAA